rnacentral:tRNA from 1 species
GGAGGGUACAGCACAGUGGUAGAAUGUGUGCUUGGUAUACACAAGGUCCUGGGUUCAAUCCCCAGAGCCUCUG